UGUCAUCAUAUCGCUUGCGGGUUCGGUAACAGCAUGCAAGUCGAACGAUGGAUACCCCUUCGGGGUGGAUUAUUGGCGAACGGGUGAGUAGACACUUGGGCAAUCUGCCCUUCACUCUGGGACAAGACCCUGGAAACGGGGUCUAAUACCGGAUAACACUCUGUCCCGCAUGGGACGGGGUUAAAAUCUCCGGCGGUGAAGGAUGAGCCACGCGGCCUAUCAGCUUGUUGGUGGGGUAAUGGCCUACCAAGGCGAACAACGGGUAUCCGGCCUGAAAGGGCGACCGGCCACACUGGGACUGAAACACGGCCCAAACUCCUACGGGAGGCAGCAUUUGGGGAAUAUUGCACAAUGGGCGAAAGCCUGAUGCAGCGACUCCGCGUGAGGGAUGACGGCCUUCGGGUUGUAAACCUCUUUCAGCAGGGAACAAGCAAAAUUGACGGUACCUGCAAAAGAAAGCGCCGGCUAACUACUUGCCCAGCAGCCGCGGUGAAUACUUAGG
rnacentral:rRNA from 1 species